rnacentral:misc_RNA from 1 species
UUGGGACCAAGCAGCAGCUAGGGCUGAUAAAGAUUAUGCCAAUGCCUCUUCGUAGAAAUCUGAAUCAUUGUUAGCAUUUCUUUAUCUCAUAAAAAGAACUACGUUCAUCGUCACUACUGUCUGACCCUUCCUCAAUCUCGUUGUCAUUUGAUGUUCCAUUAAGAGUUCGGUGAGAACUCCAAUCAGGUGGGAAGGUCUUUUGAAGGGAUUUUGUUAUAUCACCACCAGUCCUCUCAAUUUUUCUCAAGCACUUGGACCAAUGAACUGCAGUUCCCAUAUCAACAGUCAAUCCAGACUCCACCAUCUCUUCACAAACAUGUUGGAUUCUCG